UACGUAGGGUGCGAGCGUUAAUCGGAAUUACUGGGCGUAAAGCGUGCGUAGGCGGUUCGCUGUGUCCGAUGUGAAAGCCCCGGGCUUAACCUGGGAAUGGCAUUGGAAACUGGCGGGCUUGAGUGCGGCAGAGGGGGGUGGAAUUCCCGGUGUAGCGGUGAAAUGCGCAGAUAUCGGGAGGAACACCAGUAGCGAAGGCGGCUCGCUGGGCCACACCUGACGCUGAGACGCGAAAGCUAGGGGAGCGAACAGG
rnacentral:rRNA from 1 species